UCGCUACUACCGAUUGAAUGGCUUAGUGAACCCUCUGGACCGGUGCACGGCGUUGGAAACUUCGCCGCGCGUCUGGGAAGGAGGUUAAACUUGAUCAUUUAGAGGAAGUAA
rnacentral:rRNA from 1 species